UCGAGAAUUUUUCACAAUGGGCGCAAGCCUGAUGGAGCGACGCCGCGUGGGGGAUGAAUGGCUUCGGCCCGUAAACCCCUGUCAUUUGCGAACAACCGUUAUUAUUUCAAAGAUGAUAACCUGAUAGUAGCGAAAGAGGAAGGGCCGGCUAACUCUGUGCCAGCAGCCGCGGUAAUACAGAGGUCCCAAGCGUUGUUCGGAUUCACUGGGCGUAAAGGGUGCGUAGGUGGCGGGGUAAGUCGGAUGUGAAAUCGCGGGGCUCAACUCCG
rnacentral:rRNA from 1 species